AGGUCACCUUCCCUCCUCACCUACAAAUAUAUCUGCAUUCCUCGCUGGUCACCUUCCCUCCUCACCUACAAAUAUAUCUGCAUUCCUCGCUGGUCACAUAAAGGAUUCGGCUAAAUUCAUGGUGAAAGCCACGAGGGACAUUGGGCUGAUGAAUUCUAGAAGCAUCCUCCAUGGCAGUAGCGGCUCGCAGAGGUCUCUGGAUCCGCCAAUGGAACGCAGAUGCCGAAUCCAAGAGGUACCUCCCCUUCACAGGUUCCAGCUCCUGUCUCCAAGCUUCGACAAAAGAGACCUGCUCCAGUCUACCACCUGCGGUGCAGCCUGUCUCUGCAGUCCUCUGUGACUCCUCAAUUACAAGCUGCAGAUUCACCUGCUUCCAGCACUCAGCUUCCAGCAGGGAUCAGCUCCUCUUAAAGUGCCGGUACCACUUGUCCAGCAUCCACUCCGUGUCUACAUCUGACUGGUUCCAACCAGUACCCACAUCAGUCACUUCAUCUACAGCAGUCCAGCUUUCCGUGGAACAUCAGCUGGUAUGAUCCUGGGCUAUUCCCACUACUACAGUCGGGCCUGGUAAGGACUUUCCAUCUAGAGGACAAUAAGAACUGUACCCAUACUACCAGAGCCCUGUGGCCAUUGCUAUCCUGUUGUUCCCAGGAACUGUGUUAUAUAACUGCUGAUUUUACGUUUUUCUUUUAUUACUGCUGUGUUGCAUGGAGUUUGUCAAAUAAACAUAAUUGACUUUUA